rnacentral:rRNA from 1 species
GACGGAGGAUGCAAGCGUUAUCCGGAAUUAUUGGGCGUAAAGCUUACGCAGGCGGCUUAUCCAGUCUGGGGUCAAAGACCACAGCUUAACUGUGGAAAGGCCUUGGAAACUGGUGAGCUGGAGUGAGGUAGGGGUUGCGGGAAUUCCCGGUGUAGCGGUGAAAUGCGUAGAUAUCGGGAAGAACACCUGAGGCGAAAGCGCGCGACUGGGCCUUAACUGACGCUGAGGUACGAAAGCUAGGUGAGCGAAUGGG